rnacentral:rRNA from 1 species
ACUCAGAUCACGUAAUAUAUUAAUAGUCGAACAGACUUAAAAUUUUUAGCCUCUUCACCAAAAAUAAAAUAUUAAUUCAACAUCGAGGUCGCAAACUUAAAUUAUUAAUAAGAACUUACCAAAUAAAUUACGCUGUUAUCCCUAGAGUAACUUAAAUCAAAUAAAAUUUCUUUUAAUAAAAAUCUUUAUCUUUAAUAAUUGCCCCAAUUUAAAAAGCUUCCUUUUAAAGCUUCUAGGGUCUUCUCGUCCCAAGAUUAUAUAAAAGUAUUCUUACUUUUAAUCUAAAUUCAAAUUCAUAAAAUAAAACCUCCUUAUUAGUAUCUACCCUUCAUCCCAGUUUCCAAUUAAAAAA